GGAUUUGAAAUUCAAAAUAAUAUUUCUGUUUCAUAUUGAUAUUACAAUUUUGAGGAGUUUCUCUUAUUGUAUAUAAGAUUUUUAGUGGAUGAAGUUCAGUCUACAGUUUUUAUUCUUCGUCACCUAACUGUAGCCAACACCUUGCUCAUUUUUUUUUUUUUCUGGAAAAAAUUUUAAAGAUCAUAGCAGCUUUUUGAUUAAAACAUUUUCCGUUAUUUUGCACGCAAACUUGUUUACUGUAUUCACAGAGUGCCCUGUUAUGGGACCAUAAGCAACACCUGCUUUCUUAGUGUCUUUUAUACCUUUAUUAUCAGCACCAAAAACUUCAUGUGCCCUCAAGCUUAAAAUAAAAGCCCUAAUGUACAUUGGCUUCUCCCAUGCACUGUGCUGGGUUCAGAACAUGCUGAUAAAUAUCAGAGUUUCUGUGAUUGUGACUGAGAAAUUAAAUGGCAGGAGCAGCACAGAAACCAUAUGUUUUUGAUACUAUUUAGCCAAAUCAAUGACAAAGAGACAGUAUUUUACACACUGGUAUUCUUCUGU
rnacentral:lncRNA from 1 species